UACAGAGGGUGCAAACGUUGUUCGGAAUUACUGGGCGUAAAGCGCGUGUAGGCGGCUCGGAAAGUCGGAUGUGAAAGCCCUGGGCUUAACCUAGGAAGUGCAUUCGAAACUCCCGAGCUUGAGUUCUGGAGGGGAAGGCGGAAUUCUCGGUGUAGAGGUGAAAUUCGUAGAUAUCGAGAGGAACACCGGUGGCGAAGGCGGCCUUCUGGACAGUGACUGACGCUGAGACGCGAAAGCGUGGGGAGCAAACAGG
rnacentral:rRNA from 1 species